rnacentral:lncRNA from 1 species
AAUAUAGCAAUCAUUCAAAAUAAUGGCAUAUUCAAUUAACUCGAAGUAUUACACUCUGGAUUUCAUAAAUUCAAAAUUGUGUCAAACCAUAAGCCUGAUUUGACCAUAAAUUAUAUUGGUGCCCAUAAUCAAUUUCUAAAUAACUUUCAGCUUCUAUUACAGACGACAUCAAUCAAAAUAGUUCGAUUCUUUAAGUUAUAUAUCAUCUAUAGCACAGUAACAAAAGAAGAAAAAAUGAGAAUACAAAAUUUAGCCGGGAAAAUAAGACAACUCGUAACUGAAAUUGCGCAUCAACCUAUUUUAAUUUAUUUUCUUCCUUUCUUGGCAGAGAAAUUUGAAGAUCCUUGGCCCUUCGGCGCCUUACCCUUUGGAGCCUUCCCACCCUUUGGAGACUUGCCACCCUUUGGAGACUUGCCCCCCUUUGCCUUGGAACCUCUUUUUCCUGCCUUACCCGAUCCACUUUUCCUCAAAUCCUUCUUCAUCCUACGAUCAACAAGGACUUUUCCCGGGCCGGUCUUAACUUGNNN